rnacentral:tRNA from 1 species
AGUCUUAUAUUCAUAAUUAUGAUAUUAAAUUGCAAAUUUAAAGGAAAGAUAGAUAGGCUAAAUCUUUAAGGCUU